UACGUAGGGGGCGAGCGUUGUCCGGAUUUAUUGGGCGUAAAGAGCUCGUAGGCGGUUCAACAAGUCGGUCGUGAAAGUUCAGGGCUCAACCCUGAAAUGUCGAUCGAUACUGUUGUGACUAGGAUACGGUAGAGGUGAGUGGAAUUCCGAGUGUAGCGGUGAAAUGCGUAGAUAUUCGGAGGAACACCAAUUGCGAAGGCAGCUCACUGGGCCGCUAUCGACGCUGAGGAGCGAAAGCUAGGGGAGCAAACAGGAUUAGAUACCCUGGUAGUCCUAGCUGUAAACGAUGGAUACUAGACGUAGGAACUGGAUUGACGGUUUCUGUGUCGUAGCUAACGCGUUAAGUAUCCCGCCUGGGGAGUACGGUCGCAAGACUAAAACUCAAAGGAAUUGACGGGACCCCGCACAAGCGGCGGAGCAUGCGGCUUAAUUCGAUGAUACCCGUAGAACCUUACCUGGACUUGACAUAUAGGGUCUAGCUAUAGAGAUAUAGUGUGCAUUAGCGCCCUAUACAGGUGGUGCAUGGCUGUCGUCAGCUCGUGUCGUGAGGUGUUGGGUUAAGUCCCGCAACGAGCGCAACCCCUAUCCUAUGUUGCCAGCAUUUAGUUGGGGACUCAUAGGAGACUGCCGGUGAUAAACCGGAGGAAGGUGGGGACGACGUCAAGUCAUCAUGCCCCUUAUGUCCAGGGCUGCACGCAUGCUACAAUGGCAAGUACAACGAGUCGCAAUACCGCGAGGUGGAGCAAAUCUCUUAAAGCUUGUCUCAGUUCGGAUAGGAGUCUGCAACUCGACUCCUUGAAGUUGGAGUCGCUAGUAAUCGCAAAUCAGCAAAGUUGCGGUGAAUACGUUCUCGGGGUU
rnacentral:rRNA from 1 species